rnacentral:tRNA from 1 species
AGCCCGGUAGUCUAGCGGCCAAACUCUGGUCAGAAGACCCCGGGGACCCCGGUUCGAAUCCGGGCCGGGCUACCA